rnacentral:rRNA from 1 species
AGUCACUGACAUUAGAUACCCGGUGUAGUCCCAGCCGUAAACAAUGUGCGUUAGGUGUGUCGGUAACCACGUGUUACUGAUGCGCCGAAGAGAAAUCGUGAAACGCACCACCUGGGAAGUACGGUCGCAAGGCUGAAACUUAAAGGAAUUGGCGGGGAGCACCACAACAGGUGGAGCCUGCGGUUUAAUUGGAUUCAACGCCGGACAUCUCACCGGAUAAGACAGCUGAAUGAUUGUCAAUCUGAAGGUUUUACAUGACUAGCUG